rnacentral:rRNA from 1 species
GGGGGGGGGGGGGGGCGGGCGGGGUGCGGGCAGGGCGGGCGCUUCGGGGCGGGGAGGGGUGGCGGACGGGUGGGGAAUACAUAAGGAACCUGGCAUCGACAGGGGGAUAACUGGUGGAAACGUCAGCUAGGACCGCAGCGUUGUAGCGAUCGCAUGUACUCUAUAGGAAAAGUGCUACGGUACUGGUAGAUGAUGGACUUCUGGCGCAUUAGCUUGUUGGUAGGGUAACGGCCUACCAAGGCGACGAUGCGUAGCCGAGCUGAGAGGGUGACCGGCCACACUGGGACUGAGACACGGCCCAGACUCCUACGGGAGGCAGCAGUAGGGAAUUUUCGGCAAUGGGGGAAACCCUGACCGAGCAACGCCGCGUGAAGGAAGAAGUAAUUCGUUAUGUAAACUUCUGUCAUAGAGGAAGAACGGUGGAUAUAGGGAAUGAUAUCCAAGUGACGGUACUCUAUAAGAAAGCCACGGCUAACUACGUG